ACACAUGCAGUCGAACGGUCUCUUCGGAGGCAGUGNAGACGGGUGAGUAAUGCAUGGGAAUCUACCGUUCUCUACGGAAUAACUCAGGGAAACUUGUGCUAAUACCGUAUACGCCCUUUUGGGGAAAGAUUUAUCGGAGAAUGAUGAGCCCAUGUUGGAUUAGCUAGUUGGUAGGGUAAAGGCCUACCAAGGCGACGAUCCAUAGCUGGUCUGAGAGGAUGAUCAGCCACACUGGGACUGAGACACGGCCCAGACUCCUACGGGAGGCAGCAGUGGGGAAUAUUGGACAAUGGGCGCANGUGUANCCAGCCAUGCCGCGGGAGUGAUGAAGGCCCUAGGGUUG
rnacentral:rRNA from 1 species